UGAACUCACUACUGUAAGUCUGUCUGGAUAAGAGUGUCUGCUAAAUGACUAACA
rfam:Salmo salar isolate Sally breed double haploid chromosome ssa14, whole genome shotgun sequence.